rnacentral:rRNA from 1 species
UAGGGAUAACAGAGUCGUCACUCGCAAGAGCACAUAUCGACCGAGUGGCUUGCUACCUCGAUGUCGGUUCCCUCCAUCCUGCCCGUGCAGAAGCGGGCAAGGGUGAGGUUGUUCGCCUAUUAAAGGAGGUCGUGAGCUGGGUUUAGACCGUCGUGAGACAGGUCGGCUGCUAUCUAUUGGGGGUGUCAUGGUAUCUGACGGGAACGUCCGUAUAGUACGAGAGGAACUACGGAUGGUCGCCACUGGUGUACCGGUUGUCCGAGAGGGCACGUGCCGGGCAGCCACGCGACACGGGGUAAGAGCUGAACGCAUCUAAGCUCGAAACCCACCUGGAAAAGAGAUACCGCCGAGAUCACUCGUAGAAGACGAGAUCGAUAGACUCGGGGUGUACGCACCGAGGUGACGAGGUGUUUAGCCCGCGAGCACUAACUGAUCGAAGCC